rnacentral:rRNA from 1 species
AGCUAGCGCCUGAGGAUGAGCCUGCGUCUCAUUAGCUAGUUGGUAGGGUAAUGGCCUACCAAGGCGACGAUGGGUAGCCGGCCUGAGAGGGUGAGCGGCCACACUGGGACUGAGAUACGGGCCAGACUCCUACGGGAGGCAGCAGUGAGGAAUAUUGCGCAAUGGCCGAAAGGUUGACGCAGCGACGCCGCGUGAGGGAUGAAGCUUUUAGGAGUGUAAACCUCUGCUAGGAGGGAAGAAUAAUGGCAAUUCGAACAGGGUUGUCAGAUGACGGUACCUCCAGAGGAAGCCCCGGCUAACUCCGUGCCAGCAGCCGCGGCAAUACGGGGGGGGCUAGCGUUGUCCGGAAUUACUGGGCGUAAAGGGCGCGUAGGCGGGAUAGCAAGUCAGUGGUGCAAACUUGAGGCUUAACUUCAAGCUUGCCAUUGAUACUGUUAUUCUUGAGUUCGGCAGAGGGAAGUGGAAUUCCUGGUGUAGCGGUGAAAUGCGUAGAUAUCAGGAAGAACACCGGUGGCGAAGGCGGCUUCCUGGUCCGAUACUGACGCUGAGGCGCGAAAGCGUGGGGAGCGAACAGGAUUAGAUACCCUGGUAGUCCACGCUGUAAACGAUGGGUACUAGGUGUUGGUUGUAAUGAUCAGCGCCGGAGCAAACGCAUUAAGUACCCCGCCUGGGGAAUACGGUCGCAAGACUGAAACUCAAAGGAAUUGACGGGGGCCCGCACAAGCGGUGGAGCAUGUGGUUUAAUUCGAUGCAACGCGAAGAACCUUACCUGGGCUUGAACUGCAGGUGCUAUCUCCUGAAAGGGAGUUUCCUUCGGGACGCCUGUAGAGGUGCUGCAUGGCUGUCGUCAGCUCGUGCUGUGAGGUGUUGGGUUAAGUCCCGCAACGAGCGCAACCCCUGUCCCUAGUUGCCAUCAGGUCAAGCUGGGAACUCUAGGGGGACUGCCCCGGAUAACGGGGAGGAAGCCGGGGAUGACGUCAAGUCAUCAUGGCCCUUACGUCCAGGGCUACACACGUGCUACAAUGGCCGGUACAACGGGUAGCGAGACAGCGAUGUGGAGCAAAUCCCUUAAAACCGGUCUCAGUUCAGAUUGCAGUCUGCAACCCGACUGCAUGAAGUUGGAAUCGCUAGUAAUCGCGGAUCAGCAUGCCGCGGUGCCUACGUUCCCGGG